rnacentral:lncRNA from 1 species
CUGUUACAUGAUUUAGACAUGAUUGUAUGGAGUGUAUACGCAGUGUAUAUUUAUUGUAUUUCUGGUAUACAAUAGCAUGGGUUGUGAUGAUUAUGUGUUAUUUGGGCCAUCUGUAUUUACCGAGCCCACUUCAUGACUGAGCCCCAUUUCAUUUUCUUAUUUGGGUCCAUUAACCCGAUCCGUUAUGUAUUUGUAUAUAUAGGGGUCCCUAGAUAUUUUGGGACCCACGGACUUCAUUUUUCGGUUUUCUCUUCUCGGUUUAAUAAACGCUAUGAGUUCCAG